AAUUAAUAGUUAUGAUCUUUAAAAUUAAAGAAUUUGGCGGUAUUUUAGUCUAUUCAGAGGAAUCUGUUCUGUAAUUGAUAAUCCACGAUUUAAUUUACUUGUAAUAAUUAGUUUGUAUAUCGUCGUAUAAGAAUAUUUUUUUAGAAUAUAAAUAUUCAAAAAUUUAAUUAAAAAAUAAUUCAGAUCAAGGUGCAGUUAAUUUAUAAGAAGAAAUGGAUUACAUUAAAUUAUAUUUUUGGAUAAAUUUAAAAAUUUACUUUUUGAAAUUGGAUUUGAAAGUAAUUUUAAUAAAAAUAUUAGAAUGAUUAAAGCUCUAAAAUAUGU
rnacentral:rRNA from 1 species